rnacentral:rRNA from 1 species
UACGUAGGUGGCAAGCGUUGUUCGGAAUUAUUGGGCGUAAAGGGUGAGUAGGCGGUUUGUUAAGUCGGGUGUGAAAACUCUAGGCUCAACCUAGAGACGCCACCCGAUACUGCGAUGACUAGAGUCCGGUAGGGGAGUGUGGAAUUCCUGGUGUAGCGGUGAAAUGCGCAGAUAUCAGGAGGAACACCAACGGCGAAGGCAGCACUCUGGGCCGGAACUGACGCUGAGGCGCGAAAGCGUGGGGAGCAAACAGG